UACGUAGGGUGCGAGCGUUAAUCGGAAUUACUGGGCGUAAAGCGUGCGCAGGCGGUUCGUUGUGUCGGCGGUGAAAGCCCCGGGCUUAACCUGGGAAUGGCCGUCGAAACUGGCGAACUGGAGUGUGGCAGAGGGGGGUGGAAUUCCGCGUGUAGCAGUGAAAUGCGUAGAUAUCGUGAGGAACACCAGAGGCGAAGGCGGUUACCUGGACAGUUACUGACGCUCAGGCACGAAAGCGUGGGGAGCAAAAGGG
rnacentral:rRNA from 1 species